GCUGAUGACCUCACCUGUUGUCAUCAUGUCACCAAACAGCGCUCCAAAUAUGGCAGGCAGCAGUGUGUAUGGCUUCUGGAGUUGCCGUGUUCCUGAUGGGACUGACAGCUGUCUGUCUCUGCAGAGGACCGGUGAUUUGUUGAUGGGAGCUGUGAGCAGUACAGGCAUGUUUGAAUUAAGGGAUGCUGGAAUCUAUUCUCUCAUCACCUAUGUACCGUCCAAAUUACUGCCCUCGUGAGAAUUGAAGAGAAUUGAAAGUAAUCUGAAAAAGACAAUUCUGAUACGUACCACAUAUACAGCUCAAUCCCUGACAGACCAGCAACCUCAGCCCAGCAUGAUGGGUUUUACAGUCUGCAGACACACUGACACUACACCUCUGGCUUUCUGUAGCUGAAUCUUACAGAAACACUCUUGCUUUCAGGAUGUCCUUUAUUUAUCAAACAUCAUGUCACUGUAAAUAAGUAUCUACUAUGUCUACUGCUGUACCGUUUCUAAUCAUAAGCGACAAUAGAGGCCACCAUCCAAUGGCAAAAUGUGUAGAACUGCAGGAAAUUAGCUUUAAAACAAGUAGACUUGUUUUAAACGAGUAGACUUGCAGUACUCUCCCCGCCAUGAGGUGGGCCACUAAAAUGUUUUGCCUGCGAGGUGGGCAAAUCUCGCAUAGGGCCCCCAAAAUGCAAGAAACUGCCCUUAUCUACUGUAUCUCAUAUGUACACCUAGUUUCUGUUACAUGCCUAUCCAUAAUGAUGGUUACUCUGUUAGUGUUUUUAUUCAUUGGUUUUGGAGGGGUCCGGGGCAUACUCCCCUUUAAACAUUUUUGUUAUUCCCCCCUCCGGUAAAUGCUAAAUAUAUACUGUAUUUAUAUAUAUUCUGUCAUGUGUUUUAUACUGUUGGAUAGAAUGAAUUAAUACAAAUGUAUUUGAAAUCCAAAUAGAUAGAAAUAUAAUAUUUUAGUUUUAAUAAUGUUUACACUGUUGGCAACAUCAGAUAAUCAAAACUGAAAAUGAUAGAUUUCCUAAAUACUAUUAAAUCUACCCAUUUCCCCAUGUUUACCUGUUAUUUUCCAAAUUCCCAAUUUAACUUCAGCACUUCAGUCUCCCCUCCAAUGUGCAGUGUUGUAGACACGUUCUAGCAUUUUGGUCCAAUGACUGCGGAGCUGUUAAGACGAAAUUGGUGUGAGGCCAUGUCAUGAAAGUAAUUUUUUUUCUCCAGUUAUCAUGGGAGAUUUGCCUCGUUUUACCUUCCUGAUAAGACUCUUGACUUACAGUAAGUACAAAAUCAUAUGCUUUUU